UUCCCAUCUGUCCGUCAGAAACCAUCUUGUUGGAUAAAUUCCCAUCUGUCCUACAAGUGUCCUACAGCGAAAUUGAAAUGGAAAUAAUCUUCUUCUUCCUCCUUGUGUCUGUUUAUGCAACUCAACCUCUUUGGCCUCUUACCUUUCCUCUCAUUCUCAUCCUUCGCGGAAGAAUCAAAUUCCUCCCAACUCCAAAACAUGGCCACUCUCGGCUGAGUCCACGAAUCCCAUGCCUCCCAGAACAGCCUCGGAACCGACGACCUCGCUCGCUUCGCCGUCCAAGACCAUAACAAGAAGGAGAAUACUCUGCUUGAGUUUGCUGGAACUCUGCACCAUCUGACGAUCGAGGCCAUCGAUGCCGGAAAGAAGAAGCUUUACGAAGCCAAAGUCUGGGUGAAGCCAUGGAUGGGCUUUAAGGAAGUGCAGGAAUUCAAGCACGCUGGUGAGUGCGAGAAAUUAAUUUGCUGAUAUUCUAAGAUCAACCUAACAUUCCAAGUCUUGUGUUGAGCUGAGAUAUGUAUGAACAUGGAAUGCACUCGAGUAGCUAUUAGUACUGGCUUUUUGAAAUCUGACGCGGAACAGAAGUAUGAGAAAACACAUGAAGAUAAAGCUCCAGAGAGCAGCUGAGGAUAAUCCAAACCAAACAACUGUGUUUUUCAGCAUCCUUCAAGUUCACAGCUCGUUUUUGUAAAAAGGGACAGCUGAAAUAAUAUGUUUUGUUACUGUCAUGUGUUUUGGCAUUCCGCCGCGGUCACUUACAGGAUGACUUCUCCUGUCAACGUUUUCCCCAACCCGGGUUUGAUGAGGGAAUCCUUUUUCCGUUCUUUAGCUAUGAAAGUAGAGGAUGUUACAGAGUGAGUUUUAUGGCUCGUGUGUUUUUU